rnacentral:piRNA from 1 species
UAUUUCAGGUCAAGGCCUCUCUUUGAGUA